rnacentral:rRNA from 1 species
ACGUAGGGGGCAAGCGUUGUCCGGAAUUACUGGGCGUAAAGGGUGCGUAGGCGGUAUGGUAAGUUAGAUGUGAAAUCCCCGGGCUUAACUCGGGAGUUGCAUUUAAAACUGUCAGACUAGAGUGCAGGAGAGGAAAGCGGAAUUCCUAGUGUAGCGGUGAAAUGCGUAGAUAUUAGGAGGAACACCAGUGGCGAAGGCGGCUUUCUGGACUGUAACUGACGCUGAGGCACGAAAGCGUGGGGAGCGAACAG